rnacentral:rRNA from 1 species
AUACGAAGGGGGCGAGCGUUGUUCGGAAUCACUGGGCUUAAAGCGUACGUAGGCGGCUAUGAAAGUCGGGAGUGAAAUCCCAGGGCUCAACCCUGGAACUGCUUCCGAAACUUCAUAGCUAGAGUCCCGGAGAGGUUGGCGGAAUUCCGAGUGUAGAGGUGAAAUUCGCAGAUAUUCGGAGGAACACCAGUGGCGUAGGCGGCCAACUGGACGGGUACUGACGCUGAGGUACGAAAGCGUGGGGAGCAAACAGGAUUAGAAACCCUAGUAGUCC